GACAGAGGGGGCAAGCGUUGCUCGGAAUUACUGGGCGUAAAGGGCGCGUAGGCGGGAUGGCAAGUCGGUCGUGAAAUCCCUCGGCUCAACCGAGGAACGUCGAUCGAUACUGCUGUUCUUGAGGAUUGCAGAGGAGACUGGAAUUCCCGGUGUAGCGGUGAAAUGUGUAGAGAUCGGGAGGAACACCGGUGGCGAAGGCGGGUCUCUGGGCAAUUCCUGACGCUGAGGCGCGAAAGCGUGGGGAG
rnacentral:rRNA from 1 species